CUAUCAAACUGAAUUGUGAUACUUCUUUCAGUUCUAAAAGUUGAUAUUUUAGGCAUUGAGACUGUUUGGAGAAACUAUCAAGGCCAGAUGGCUGAUGGUUGGAGGAAUUUUGUUAGAUACUGUUGCCUCUGCUGGAGCUGCAGCUGCAGAAACCCUGCCCGUGAAAGAAGCGUUGAAAUUCCAGUGUAGAAUCAAUUAUUGUCAAGCUAUUAUGCAAAACUGAUUCUCUCAACCUCUUCAACUGUAUUAGUAAAGAAUUCUGCUAUUCCAUGAGACAACAAGAGACUUAGAAAGAAAUUUGUGAAAGACAACAACCAUAUUAGGGCUGUCUUGGACCAACACAGGCCUGCAAAUUAGGUAGCAAAUGUUACUAGACUCUUCUUGUAUUUGUCCAGCUAACUGAAUGUUCUGCUCGCCAAGUUUUUUACUAUUUAGAAAAUUAAUCUUAUUGUUAAAAACAUAUUAUUUGGAUUUAUUUUUAUUUUUUUUCGAAAUGUAAAUUUGUAUCAACAUAAUCAUACAAGACAUGUUGGAUAAAGCUGAAACUCUGGAGUUUACAGAAAUGCUAAAACAAAUAAAGGACUGCGUCGUUGUUAGUCAAUCGUAACUGCUGUUCUGUCAAAAGAACAGGUAAUCAAACCCACCUAUCUCUGUCUCAAUGUUUUUGUGCCGGUGACCAACUGUUGUUGGCAUGCAAGUACGCGCACAAAGAACUAUGACAAAAAGGGUUGUCAGGAAAUCUCCAAAGUGUUUUUUCAUGAGUAUAGGGGAGUUUACCUUGUGAAAAUAGGAUUCAACCUUGCCAAGGUGCUGGUCCAAAGGAGGCAUUACUUUCCACUUCUCCAGUUUGGUAGCUAUCUCUUCUAAUUUCAGAUAUAGUGAUGCUGCUGUUCUCAGUGAUUCCAGUUUCUUUAUUGGAAACCCUUCAAACUUUACCAGUACCUGCAUUUGAGGAGAUGAAUUGGUAGGUUUUCACCUCACUUUAGGCCAAGAAUUCAGGGCUAUUUUUUUGUAAUUUCUUUUUGAGAGUCAGCAAUUCACAUUAUAUAUGUGAAAUAGCUCAGAAUUGAAGAUGUAGAAGUCACUGAAUUGAUCAGUCACCUCACCUGUGUCUCAUCAGUCAAUUUCUCCAAUUGUUGCUCCACAUGCUUGUGAAAUUUAACAAGCUCAGCCAUGUCCUUGGUUUGGAAGGACUUGAUAGCAUCUUUGAUCUCCAUGAUUAAUUUGGCAUGCUUCCUGACAUCCUCUUCAAUCUGUUGGAAAUAUGCCGAUCUAUGAUGUCCAUAGAAGAAAAUCGAGUUCUAAGUAAGAGUAAACCAUAACAGUUUUGUUCUAGUCUGACAUUCCAUGAGCAGCAGUAGUUGGAAGCCUACCUUUUUGUCAUCUCUGCCAGUGCAUCAGCCAUUCCCUGUUUUCCUCCUGCAGAUUUUCCAAGUUGAGGUCUUCCUCCUUCAGAAGGGCCUUUGCCUCUAUAAGUGGAGGGGGAGGUGGUGGUUCAGCUCCUUUUGCCUGUAAUGUGGGAAUUGGUGGCUCUGAUACUGAUCCUCUAGAAGGUGGUGCUGGUGUAGAAGGAGGUACUGUGCCAUAUGAAGGCAGAUUGACUGGUGGCAAUGGAGUGCUUGAUGGCAUAUUUGGAGCAGGAUUGGAUGCUACGGCUGGAGGUGAUGGCUUUGGUACUGCUGCUGGUCCUUUUGAGUGAGACAUCACAUUUGAGGAUACAAGUUGAAUGGAAGGUACUUCAUUUCAAUUGGCCUCAAUUUCUCCACCGCCUUAACUCUGGGAGGCAAUGGAGAAGGUGAGGCAUAUGUAGCAUUUGCAAACUCACUGAGUUCCACAGAGAAAGAAAUUGCAGGAGAGAAUGAUGCUGGAGUAUCUGGAGAAGGACAUGUGAGUUUCUUGUUUGAAUAGGACUCGGUCAAUGCAUCUCCAAUUGUGAAAUCUUGUAUCGUGCCACCACUAUCCAUUUCAUCUUCUUCCAUUAUAUCGAACAUUUUCUUUGCGAUGUCAAUCAUGUGGUUGAGCUUUUUAAGGACUUUUUGACCUUCAACAUAAAAUAUGUAUCGCGUUGAAUUAUGAUACGAUUUAUAUAGCAUUUUUGGCAGAAGGAAAGGCAUUUACCAAGUUGCUCCAGAGUGAUAUCUUCCAUAAUGUCACUUGUAUCAUUGCCAAUGUUAGUUACCCACUUGUGAUUUCUGGCCCACGAAUCUCCUAUGCAUUUCAGAGCAUCAUCAAGGUAAAUGAACCUGAUUUAAGGAGGUUUCUUCCAUUUCUGUUGUCAAUUUACAGUUUACAACCUUUGGGUAUAAGCUGUAGAGAUCUUCAACAGUGACCAUCACCAACUGCCAGAAGAUUCAAGACAGGAAAAUCUUGAGAAAUAAAUGUCACCUUAAGAUUAAAAGCUCCCUUGGUGUCACCGGAAGUAAAUAGACAAAUACCUCAUGAAGGGGACCAGAACCAUCACAAAGAGGAAGGUCAAUGACAUCCCUAAAGGACAACAAUGUUCAAAGUCGUAGUUUCUUCUAGUUAAAUACCUGCAAUCAUUUUCAAAGUUCCCACAUUUGGAAAUCAAGAUUGGAGGUGAAAAAUAAAAAGUUCCAAACUCAGAUCUCAAAAGAAAAAAUUGCUUGUUAUUGAAUAGAGUUGGACCGAAUCCAGAAAGAUAUUUGUGAAUUGUGAUGCUAAUGUCCAAAAGAUACAGCAGCAGCAGCUUUGUUUGUGGCCUCCUCCUCUGAUGGGUUCAACUGAAGCGAGCCAGAAGACAGGCAGAGGAGCUGGUUGCCUCAUAUUCCAUCCUGUAAUGGCUAAUAAUUUUCUUCCCAACAAUGUAGGAACUGAUGGGUUUAAAGACUGCCACUUGUCUGCCCAAUCAGAUCUAAAAUAACUACCAAGACGGUCAAUUUCCAUCAGUAAAGUGAUUAACAUCUUUCAGUGACAA